UGUGUGUGUGUGUGUGUGUGUGUGUGUGUGUGUGUGUAGGAGUUCCCAUGCUCUGGGUCGGAUCAGUGUGUAGUUCUGUGUGACGACGCCUGCAAAGACCAGCAGAAGAAAGUCAGCCAGGUGAAGGAGGCAGAGCAGAGAGCAGCUCAGGAGGAGGAGCAGAAGAAACUUCAAGAGGAGCUUGAGGCGUUCGAGAAGCGCCAGCAGCGAGGUGGUCGGAGGAAUAAGAAGCGCGGGAGGAAAGAGGAGGUGGACGCUGACGGGGGGAGGAUGGGGAGAUGGAGGCGGUGCGCCGCCUUCGUCCUCGUCCCGCUGGGCGGCGCUCUGCUGUCCGCCGCCGUCUACUACCUCCUGAACGCAGCCUGAACCGACACGCUGCUCCUCCCGUGUUUUCACCCAUGUCGCUACCGGAUGUGAGUCGAGUGCACAUUUGAGUCGAGCACGCUCAGAUUUAAACGGUUUUCGGCAUAACUGUCAUACUGAAAUUAGUGAAUUCCAUGAAAUAAUAAAGUUUUUAACAAUAACAGGAGAUGGGAAUCAUUUCAGAAACGUUGUAGCUAGCUAUGGUUGAUUGAUGCUAACGUUAGCUCAAA